rnacentral:rRNA from 1 species
AGACCCGAAACCCGGUGAUCUAGCCAUGGGCAGGUUGAAGGUUGGGUAACACUAACUGGAGGACCGAACCGACUAAUGUUGAAAAAUUAGCGGAUGACCUGUGGCUGGGGGUGAAAGGCCAAUCAAACCGGGAGAUAGCUGGUUCUCCCCGAAAGCUAUUUAGGUAGCGCCUCGUGAAUUCAUCUCCGGGGGUAGAGCACUGUUUCGGCUAGGGGGCCAUCCCGGCUUACCAACCCGAUGCAAACUGCGAAUACCGGAGAAUGUUAUCACGGGAGACACACGGCGGGUGCUAACGUCCGUCGUGAAGAGGGAAACAACCCAGACCGCCAGCUAAGGUCCCAAAGUCAUGGUUAAGUGGGAAACGAUGUGGGAAGGCCCAGACAGCCAGGAUGUUGGCUUAGAAGCAGCCAUCAUUUAAAGAAAGCGUAAUAGCUCACUGGUCGAGUCGGCCUGCGCGGAAGAUGUAACGGGGCUAAACCAUGCACCGAAGCUGCGGCAGCGAACGUAUCACCCAAGACAACUUUACGGAGUUGACGAUUGACGGAGCGAAGCGACGUCAAAGCGUUCAUUAAAGUCGAGUUGGCUUAGGGAUACGUUCGUUGGGUAGGGGAGCGUUCUGUAAGCCUGUGAAGGUGUGUCGUGAGGCAUGCUGGAGGUAUCAGAAGUGCGAAUGCUGACAUAAGUAACGAUAAAGCGGGUGAAAAGCCCGCUCGCCGGAAGACCAAGGGUUCCUGUCCAACGUUAAUCGGGGCAGGGUGAGUCGACCCCUAAGGCGAGGCCGAAAGGCGUAGUCGAUGGGAAACGGGUUAAUAUUCCCGUACUUGGUGUUACUGCGAAGGGGGGACGGAGAAGGCUAUGUUGGCCGGGCGACGGUUGUCCCGGUUUAAGGGUGUAGGUGUGUGUUCCAGGUAAAUCCGGUUCACUUUAACACUGAGGCGUGACGACGAGGCACUACGGUGCUGAAGCAACAAAUGCCCUGCUUCCAGGAAAAGCCUCUAAGCAUCAGGUAACACGAAAUCGUACCCCAAACCGAC